CGUACGCUGGCGGCAGCCUAAAAAAUGCAAGUCGAACGAAGUAGUAAUACUUAGUGGCAGACGGGUGAGUAACAUGUAGGUAUCUGCCCAUUGGCCUGGAAUAACACGAGGAAACUUGUGCUAAUACCGGAUAAGUCUUUACGGAGAAAGCUUUAUGCACCAUUGGAUGAGCCUGCACUUGAUUAGUUUGUUGGUGGGGUAAUGGCCUACCAAGACUGUGAUCAAUAGCUGAUUUGAGAGGAUGAUCAGCCACAUUGGGACUGAGACACGGCCCAAACUCCUACGGGAGGCAGCAGUGGGGAAUCUUGCACAAUGGAGGAAACUCUGAUGCAGCGAUGCCGCGUGAGUGAAGAAGGCCCUUGGGUUGUAAAGCUCUUUCGUCGGGGAAGAAAAUGACUGUACCCGAAUAAGAAGGUCCGGCUAACUUCGUGCCAGCAGCCGCGGUAAUACGAAGGGACCUAGCGUAGUUCGGAAUUACUGGGCUCAAAGAGUUCGUAGGUGGUUGAAAAAGUUAGUGGUGAAAUCCCAGAGCUUAACUCUGGAACUGCCAUUAAAACUUUUCAGCUAGAGUAUGAUAGAGGAAAGCAGAAUUUCUAGUGUAGAGGUGAAAUUCGUAGAUAUUAGAAAGAAUACCAAUUGCGAAGGCAGCUUUCUGGAUCAUUACUGACACUGAGGAACGAAAGCAUGGGUAGCGAAGAGGAUUAGAUACCCUCGUAGUCCAUGCCGUAAACGAUGUGUGUUA
rnacentral:rRNA from 1 species